UUUGUAGAAGAUGCUUUGGGUCUGGGCCUGGCCUAACCUUCCUUGGAACAGGACGUCGUAGAGGGUGAGAAUCCCGUAUGCGGCUGGCGCCCGUGCCCGUGUAAAGCUCUUUCAACGAGUCGAGUUGUUUGGGAAUGCAGCUCUAAAUGGGUGGUAAAUUUCAUCUAAAGCUAAAUAUUGGCCAGAGACCGAUAGCGCACAAGUAGAGUGAUCGAAAGAUGAAAAGCACUUUGGAAAGAGAGUUAAACAGUACGUGAAAUUGUUGAAAGGGAAGCGCUGGCAACCAGACUUGGGCGCUGUUGAUCCGCUAGGGUUCUCUCUAGGGCACUCGGCAGUGCGCAGGCCAGCAUCGGUUUGGGGGGUUGGAGAAUGGCUGGUGGAAUGUGGCUGUCUUUGGGCAGUGUUAUAGCCACCGGUGGCAUGCAGCCUCCCCGGACCGAGGACCGCGCUUCGGCUAGGAUGCUGGCGUAAUGGUUGUCAGCGACCCGUCUUGAAACACGGACCAAGGAGUCUAACAUCUAUGCGAGUGUUUGGGUGUUAAACCCAUACGCGGAAUGAAAGUGAACGUAGGUGAGAACCCGCAAGGGUGCAUCAUCGACCGAUCCUGAUGUCUUCGGAUGGAUUUGAGUAAGAGCAUAGCUGUUGGGACCCGAAAGAUGGUGAACUAUGCCUGAAUAGGGUGAAGCCAGAGGAAACUCUGGUGGAGGCUCGCAGCGGUUCUGACGUGCAAAUCGAUCGUCAAAUUUGGGUAUAGGGGCGAAAGACUAAUCGAACCAUCUAGUAGCUGGUUCCUGCCGAAGUUUCCUCCAGGAUAG
rnacentral:rRNA from 1 species